rnacentral:rRNA from 1 species
CCUUGGCGACAAGAGGCGAAGAAGGACGUGGCACGCUGCGAUAAGCUGUGGGGAGGGGUGAGCACCCGUUGAUCCGCAGAUCUCCGAAUGGGGCAACCCGGCCGCAAGGUCAUCCCGCAAGGGAAGCGAACGAGGGGAACUGAAACAUCUCAGUACCCUUAGGAAAGGACAUCAACAGAGACUCCGUCAGUAGUGGCGAGCGAAAGCGGAUGAGGCCAGUGGCCUCAGGCUAAGAACCGGAACGGUCUGGAAAGGCCGGCCAGAGCGGGUGAUAGCCCCGUACGGGUAGAAAGGUCUGAGGUCCUUGAGUAGGGCGGGGCACGUGAAACCCUGUCCGAACAUGGGGGGACCACCCUCCAAGCCUAAGUACUCCUUGUCGACCGAUAGCGAACAAGUACCGUGAGGGAAAGGUGAAAAGCACCCCGACGAGGGGAGUGAAAGAGACCUGAAACCGGAUGCCUACAAACAGAGGGAGCCCGCAAGGGUGACCUCGUACCUUUUGUAUAAUGGGUCAGCGAGUUCGUUCGUGCAGCAUGCUUAAGCCGUUAGGUGGAGGCGG